rnacentral:rRNA from 1 species
AUGCAUCUUCCAUGGCGUAAUCAUUCAUUCCUAUUCUUUUCCUUGCACUGGACGAUGACUCAACCCGACCGCGAGUCCGUCAUGAACCUUCCGGGCCUGGAUCCCCUCCCUAUAAAAUCCACACGUACGCCAGCUGCUGCUACUCACAAGUCAGACACAAGUCUCGAUCGACCCGUCUGCCUGCCGCGAGCAUCAUUGGCGCGUCGAUCCAGCCCACGUUUGUUUGGUAAUCCCGCGCGCGCGGCAUUGAUGGGUUCCUCCCAGGCGCUUGCUCUGUGGGUGGUGAUCACGCACCUCCUCUCCCUUGGCGGCGGCUUCGCCAGUUGCGCCUGGCCGAGCUCCGCGACGCACGACGACGCCGGCUGCCUCAGCUGGCGCGUCAUGGUGGAGGCCAACAACGCGAGGGGCUGGCGCACGGUGCCGGCGCCCUGCGUCGGCUACGUCAAGGCCUACAUGACCCGGGGCCAGUACGGCAGGGACCUGGACAGCGUCAUGGAGCAGGUGUCCGCCUACGUCGACCAGAUCGCCGCCGCCGCCGCCGACGGCCUCGACGCCUGGAUCUUCGACAUCGACGACACCUGCCUCUCCAACCUGCUCUACUACCAGGCCAAGCGCUUCGGGGCGUACGAUCCCAUGGCCUUCAAGAAGUGGGCUAGCCAAGGGGCCUGCCCGGGCAUACCGCCGGUCCUUGGGCUGUUCGCGGCGUUGCAGGACAAGGGAUUCAAGGUCUUCCUUGUCUCCGGGAGGGACGAGCAGACUCUGGGCUCCUGCACGUCCCAGAAUCUGGAGUCGGAGGGGUUCUCAGGGUACGAGAGGCUCAUGAUGAGAACUCCCGAGUACCGAGGGCAGAGCUCGUCGCUGUUCAAGUCGGCGAUGAGGAAGCAGCUGGUGGACGAGGGCUACAGGAUCCGCGGCAACGUCGGGGAUCAGUGGAGCGACCUGCAGGGCGACAACGUCGGCGACCGCGUGUUCAAGAUACCAAACCCCAUGUACUUCGUCCCGUGA